GAUGAAGAACGUAGCGAAAUGCGAUAAGUAGUGUGAAUUGCAGAAUUUAGUGAAUCAUCGAAUCUUUGAACGCACAUUGCGCCCUUUGGUAUUCCAAAGGGCAUGCCUGUUCGAGCGUCAUUUGUACCCUCAAGCUUUGCUUGGUGUUGGGCGUCUUGUCUCUAGCUUUGCUGGAGACUCGCCUUAAAGUAAUUGGCAGCCGGCCUACUGGUUUCGGAGCGCAGCACAAGUCGCACUCUCUAUCAGCAAAGGUCUAGCAUCCAUUAAGCCUUUUUUUCAACUUUUGACCUCGGAUCAGGUAGGGAUACCCGCUGAACUUAAGCAUAUCAAUAAGCGGAGGA
rnacentral:misc_RNA from 1 species